rnacentral:lncRNA from 1 species
CAAUGUUUGUGAUGAUAAGUGGACUUCUGAAGAACGACCUUAAAAAGUCAUUAGUGAAGAUCUAUCCUCAAGACUAUCCUGAUAUAUUGGUCCGGAUGGAGAAGUAUGUCCCAUACGGAGGAGGUCUUCAUGGAAGAUGAAGCCCCCACUGGCUCUGCAGUAGAGAGUAAGCAAAAUAAGGAGUGCUCCCGAAGACAGGAGGAGAGAACCCUGCAGUGCUCUAGGUCCCCAGCUCGAAAGUCAAAAAAUGGGACCCC